rnacentral:rRNA from 1 species
CCCCCCCCCCCCAUAACUUUAAAUACAUCCACGGGCUUAAAAUUUAUUCAAACAGGGUACAGCCUAUUUGAAACAGGAUACAACCUCCAUCAGCAGGUAAUGCUUAAACCUACGUGAUCAAGUGGGCCUAAGAGCAGCCAUCUUUCAAAAAGCGUUAAAGCCUAAUCACACCUUACCAUUAAUCCCAACCAAAACCCAAAACCUCUCAUCACCUAUUGAAUGACUCCAUACCAAUAUGGAAGCCCUUAUGUUAGAACUAGUAACAAGAAUAACUAUUCUCCCUAAAUGUGAGUGUAAGCCAAAAUGGACCACCCACCGGCAAUUAUCGUCAAUGAACCAACAGUAACAACUCCCCAAGAAAAUCUUACUGCAUUCAGCGUUAACCUUACACAAGAGCCUUUCCGGAAAGUAGUAAAAAAAGAGGAAG